rnacentral:rRNA from 1 species
CAAUAGCGUAUAUUAAAGUUGUUGCAGUUAAAACGCUCGUAGUUGAAAUUCUGCCUCCUGGUAGCUUGGUCCGCUGUGCGUGUACCUUCUUCCAGUGGCAUCCGCUUGCAGAGCAUUCGAGCGUUGCAAGCCGUUCACUUUGAGGAAAUUUGAGUGUUCAAAGCAGGCUUUAGCCUUGAAUACUUCAGCAUGAAAUGAUUGAUAGGACUUCCGUCCUGUCCGUUGGUUCUGGGGGCGCGAAGUAAUGAUAAACAGGGUCGGUCGGGGGCAUUCGUAUUGAGCAGUCAGAGGUGAAAUUCUUAGAUUUGCUCAAGACGAACAACUGCGAAAGCAUUUGUCAAGGACGAUCCCAUUAA